GACGAACGCUGGCGGCGUGCUUAACACAUGCAAGUCGAACGGAAAGGCCCUGCUUUUGUGGGGUGCUCGAGUGGCGAACGGGUGAGUAACACGUGAGUAACCUGCCCUUGACUUUGGGAUAACUUCAGGAAAUUGGGGCUAAUACCGGAUAGGAGCUCCUGCUGCAUGGUGGGGGUUGGAAAGUUUCGGCGGUUGGGGAUGGACUCGCGGCUUAUCAGCUUGUUGGUGGGGUAGUGGCCUACCAAGGCUUUGACGGGUAGCCGGCCUGAGAGGGUGACCGGCCACAUUGGGACUGAGAUACGGCCCAGACUCCUACGGGAGGCAGCAGUGGGGAAUAUUGUACAAUGGGCGGAAGCCUGAUGCAGCAACGCCGCGUGCGGGAUGACGGCCUUCGGGUUGUAAACCGCUUUCGCCUGUGACGAAGCGUGAGUGACGGUAAUGGGUAAAGAAGCACCGGCUAACUACGUG
rnacentral:rRNA from 1 species